AAAAUUAAUUUUUUUUCCUUAAUGAGCGCCGUCCAAAGAAAAACCUCAAGCCCUUUUAAUGCUUUUAAACUCCGUUGUCACUUUCUGCGAAAUUAGGGUUUCAAUUUCCCCACAAAAUUUGGGCUUGCAAAACUUUCUGGAUUCUGUCUUUAUUAUCGUUCUGGUGAUCGGGAGAGGCGAGAGUUAGAAAGAGCUGAUAGGGGAAGUAGAAAGCCUAGUGUUCCUUACCUAACUCCUUCAAGACUCAUCGACUUUUUUAAGUUUCGUUGUUUUAUUGGCUCGUUUACGAGAUAAGAGGAUCUGAUUCCACAGUUUAUAGUUCUGGUUGUUUUCCACAAAGGGUUCGGGCAAAAUUUCUUUGCUUAAAGGGUUAGAUGCCAUCUACAUAUUUUUCAAGAUUAAGAACUGCAGUACAGAAUGAAAUUUCAUGUUCGAUCACAGGGAAAGAGUGUAGGGCACACAUGCCCUGGAGCCUUGCAUAAGGUGUAACUGAUUAGCCAAUGCUUUAUGGUGGAAUAAUUGACACUUAGCAAUGAGUUCUGAGAAUGAAAGGGACUGCUUUGCAUGGGCAGCUAGAGAUCCAUCUGGAGUUCUAUCACUGUACAAGUUCAAGCGCAGGACUGUUGGGGAAGAUGAUGUUUCCUUAAAAAUUACACAUUGUGGAAUCUGCUAUGCUGAUGUUAUUUGGACAAGGAAUAUGCAUGGAGAUUCAAAGUAUCCCUUGGUGCCAGGACAUGAGAUUGUUGGAAUUGUAAAAGAGAUUGGUUCCAAUGUGAGCCGCUUCAAGGCUGGUGACCGUGUUGGAGUAGGCACUUAUGUUAACUCAUGCAAAGAAUGUGAAUAUUGUAAUGACAGACAAGAAGUUAAUUGUGUAAAAGGGGCAGUUUUUACUUUUAAUGCCAUUGAUGUGGAUGGUACAAUCACAAAAGGAGGAUAUUCUAGCUACAUUGUUGUCCAUGAAAGGUACUGCUUUAGGAUACCAGAUGAUUAUCCUUCGGCCUUAGCAGCACCUCUGCUAUGUGCUGGAAUUACUGUUUACAAUCCCAUGAUGCGACAUGGGAUGAACCAACCUGGUAAAUCUCUAGGAGUGAUUGGGCUAGGUGGUCUUGGUCACAUGGCAGUGAAGUUUGGGAAGGCUUUUGGACUGAAAGUAACUGUUUUUAGCACAAGCAUUUCCAAGAAAGAAGAAGCCUUGAGGGUGCUUGGUGCAGACAAUUUUGUUGUCUCAUCUGACCAAGACCAGAUGAAGGCACUCUCUAAAUCACUGGACUUUAUAGUUGACACAGCAUCUGGUGAUCACCCAUUUGAUCUAUACAUCUCACUUUUGAAAACAGCUGGGGUUCUUGUCCUCGUGGGGUUUCCAAGUGAAGUCAAAUUCAGUCCUGCAACUCUCAACCGGGGUAUGAGAACUGUGUCUGGUAGCAUUACAGGUGGUACAAAAAUGAUACAAGAAAUGCUGGACUUUUGUGCUGCUCAUAAAGUUUACCCCAAGGUAGAAAUAAUCCCUAUUGAGUAUGCAAAUGAAGCUCUUGAAAGGGUAGUAAAGAGAGAUGUGAAGUACCGGUUUGUGAUAGAUAUUGAGAACUCCUUGAAGUGACUAUGGAAAGCAAAGAGGAAUAUUUCUGCUCAAAUAAUAAAAGGGUAGUUGAUCGGAAAAUUCUUCAUGGAUCUCGCUGGCGAUUAAACUUUGGUGGUCUUGUAUCAUAUAUAACUGCUUAAGUUAAAAACCUGGCUUUCUAUGUUGAAGAAAAUAGUCUCUAAAGAAUUUGGUCAAAAGAAGUCCUGGUGAUUGAACUUAGCAUCAAAUGUUCAAAUAGCUACUUUCCUCUUUUCUGUGUUUAAAAUAUUAGGCAAAUAAAUAAAUUGGCCAGCAUUACUGAAAAUAUUAUUAAUUGGAUUUUAA
rnacentral:misc_RNA from 1 species